AUAGAAUUCAACAAGAAAUGGAUAGGAGCUUUAUUGAUGAUGAUGAUGAUGAUGAUGCAGCAUCAACUUCUGGAUUACCAAAUAAAGCUGUUCAUAAUAUUGCCAUGGUAAUUGACCCAACUUACAAUCGUCAGAAAGCACAAAGCCUUGGAAGUCCUCAGAAUUCACAAUGUAAUACUCCCACAUCUUCACCAAAUAGGGUUAUCCCCCAAUGUCCAGGUAUUUUUAUUUUUAUUUUCUGAAGUAUUUAGAAAAUUUGGAAUAUAGUUUAAUUUCAAAACAGUUUUUGAAAAAUAUUCAUAUUACAGGAUACAAUUAUUUAUUGAUUAUAUAUAUAUCUAUAGCAUUUUUAAUUUGAC
rnacentral:lncRNA from 1 species